AUUGAACGCUGGCGGCAGGCCUAACACAUGCAAGUCGAGCGAGCGGCGGACGGGUGAGUAAUGCCUGGGAAUUGCCCAGUCGAGGGGGAUAACAGUUGGAAACGACUCCCAAUACCGCUUACGAUUGGAUUGCCCAGGCGGGAUUGGCUAGUUGGUUAGGUAAUGUGUCACCAAGGCGACGAUCCCUAGCUGGUCUGAGAGGAUGAUCAGCCCCACUGGAACUGGAACACGGUCCAGACUCCUGCGGGAGGCAGCAGUGGGGGAUAUUGCACAAUGGGGGAAACCCUGAUGCAGCCAUGCCGCGUGUGUGAAGAAGGCCUGCGGGUUGUAAAGAACUUUCAGCGGGGAGGCGUUACUCGCAGAAGAAGCACCGGCUAACUCCGUGCCAGCAGCCGCGGUAAUAC
rnacentral:rRNA from 1 species